rnacentral:lncRNA from 11 species
CAACUUCUCAAGCCACGCAAAACCCUGAAGGAUUUCUAAAAUACUUGGGAUCAACCACCUUUGUCUCCUGGACUUCCCCACCCUGUUUCGGCCAAUGGACAGAGACAAAUCUACAUCGGAGGCGAGGAGCACCUCCCCAUUGGCCAGCAGGUGCUGCAGUCCCGCCUCUGUGGGGAGUCCUCCCUGAUGUCAUCGGAGCUCAGCCAAUCACAGUGGAGCCGGGAACAGCUGGAAGGUGAGUAAAAUAUAUAAAAAUGCCUGUUUUGCUAUGUAUGGUAUCUCAGCUUCCUUUGGCAUCACUAUCAACUGAUUGAAUAAAAACCUUGGUGGUUUCAUCUUCAACUUGGUGAGCUUUAUUUUGGAAAAUUGGGCUUCUUCUUGCUCGCCAGGCACACGGACUCACAAGGAUGGCUGAUCGGUGGUGCCAGUUGCAGCUUCUCAGACUCGGUAUCCGCACCUCAGGUUUCUGUAUCUGCGGCCAUUUAAAAUUUC